rnacentral:rRNA from 1 species
GUUAGCGGCGGACGGGUGAGUAACACGUGGGCAACCUGCCUGUAAGACUGGGAUAACUUCGGGAAACCGGAGCUAAUACCGGAUAAUCCUUUUCCUCUCAUGAGGAAAAGCUGAAAGACGGUUUACGCUGUCACUUACAGAUGGGCCCGCGGCGCAUUAGCUAGUUGGUGAGGUAACGGCUCACCAAGGCGACGAUGCGUAGCCGACCUGAGAGGGUGAUCGGCCACACUGGGACUGAGACACGGCCCAGACUCCUACGGGAGGCAGCAGUAGGGAAUCUUCCGCAAUGGACGAAAGUCUGACGGAGCAACGCCGCGUGAGUGAUGAAGGUUUUCGGAUCGUAAAACUCUGUUGUUAGGGAAGAACAAGUACAAGAGUAACUGCUUGUACCUUGACGGUACCUAACCAGAAAGCCACGGCUAACUACGUGCCAGCAGCCGCGGUAAUACGUAGGUGGCAAGCGUUGUCCGGAAUUAUUGGGCGUAAAGCGCGCGCAGGCGGUCCUUUAAGUCUGAUGUGAAAGCCCACGGCUCAACCGUGGAGGGUCAUUGGAAACUGGGGGACUUGAGUGCAGAAGAGAAGAGUGGAAUUCCACGUGUAGCGGUGAAAUGCGUAGAGAUGUGGAGGAACACCAGUGGCGAAGGCGACUCUUUGGUCUGUAACUGACGCUGAGGCGCGAA